rnacentral:pre_miRNA from 1 species
UUUAUACUCCCUCCGUUCGGAAUUACUUGUCGUCAAAAUGGAUGUAUCUAGAACUAAAAUACAUCUAGAUACAUCCAUUUCAAUGACAAGUAUUUUCGGAUGGAGGGAGUAGUUG